rnacentral:lncRNA from 1 species
UUAAAUAUAAUUAGACUAUGAAGCUUAAACAAUAAUAAAAUAUUCUAAUUCUAAUCCAAAAUUAAUAAAAUAAUUAAAAUAAUUACUAAUUUACUUGAGGAAGAAUUCCUCUCAUCUUGGCCAAAACUCCAUGUGUCUUUAUCUUUCUUGGACUUCUAAUUUGAGUAGAAUUCCUUCUCCAUUUUAGCAUAUUACUCACUUGUGGAAUUUAGGAAUUUGCAGAAGUACUUUGCAGCUUGGAAUCAUGGGAAAAUUGGGAAAAGAAAAUAGGAGUCCAAGUCGGACUCAAAACAAGUUAUCAGCAUGAGGUAGGCGUGCUAGCUUGUUGUCUGCGCGCUUUUAUUAUUA